GAUGAACGCUAGCUACAGGCUUAACACAUGCAAGUCGAGGGGUAACGAGAGGGAAGCUUGCUUUCCUUGUCGACGACCGGCGCACGGGUGAGUAACGCGUAUCCAACCUGCCCCCAACUAGGGAAUAACCUUGCGAAAGUAAGACUAAUACCCUAUAAUUUCCUCAGAUGUCAUCUGACGAGGAAUAAAGAUUUAUCGGUUGUGGAUGGGGAUGCGUCUGAUUAGCUUGUUGGCGGGGUAACGGCCCACCAAGGCAACGAUCAGUAGGGGUUCUGGGAGGAAGGUCCCCCACAAUGGAACUGAGACCCGGUCAAAACUCCUACGGGAGGCAGCAGUGGGGAAGAUUGGUCAAUGGGCGGAAGCCUGAACCAGCCAAGUAGCGUGCAGGAUGACGGCCCUAUGGGUUGUAAACUGCUUUUAUACAGGAAUAAAGUUAGCCACGUGUGGUUAUUUGUAGGUACUGUAUGAAUAAGGACCGGCUAAUUCCGUGCCAGCCGCCGCAGUAA
rnacentral:rRNA from 1 species